rnacentral:rRNA from 1 species
GACGAACGCUGGCGGCGUGCCUAAUACAUGCAAGUAGAACGCUGAAGGAGGAGCUUGCUCUUCUGGAUGAGUUGCGAACGGGUGAGUAACGCGUAGGUAACCUGCCUGGUAGCGGGGGAUAACUAUUGGAAACGAUAGCUAAUACCGCAUAAGAGUAGAUGUUGCAUGACAUUUGCUUAAAAGGUGCAAUUGCAUCACUACCAGAUGGACCUGCGUUGUAUUAGCUAGUUGGUGGGGUAACGGCUCACCAAGGCGACGAUACAUAGCCGACCUGAGAGGGUGAUCGGCCACACUGGGACUGAGACACGGCCCAGACUCCUACGGGAGGCAGCAGUAGGGAAUCUUCGGCAGUGGACGGAAGUCUGACCGAGCAAUGCCGCGUGAGUGAAGAAGGUUUUCGGAUCGUAAAGCUCUGUUGUAAGAGAAGAACGAGUGUGAGAGUGGAAAGUUCACACUGUGACGGUAUCUUACCAGAAAGGGACGGCUAACUACG